rnacentral:rRNA from 1 species
UACGUAGGGGGCGAGCGUUGUCCGGAUUCAUUGGGCGUAAAGAGCUCGUAGGCGGUUCAGUAAGUCGGGUGUGAAAUCUCCGUGCUCAACACGGAGCGGCCACCUGAUACUGCUGUGACUCGAGUCCGGUAGGGGAGUGUGGAAUUCCCGGUGUAGCGGUGAAAUGCGCAGAUAUCGGGAAGAACACCCGUGGCGAAGGCGGCUCUCUGGGACGGUACUGACGCUGAGACGCGAAAGCGUGGGGAGCGAACAGG